UGAAGAUUCCACUUGAAGUUAGAAACACUAAAAGUAUUGAGUCCCAAGUGGUCCAUAAACUUGUAAACCAAAUGAAAGACAUAAAUAUUGUUAGCUAAGAGUUAAUCAUUUUUGGUGGCAAUUACUCUACAUUCUUUUUUCAUAUGUAAAGACUGGAAGUGUAUCUUUAAGUAUCUUGGUAUCUUCUGUAUUGAAUAUCUGUUAAUUACAAUACUUUGGUCCUUG
rnacentral:lncRNA from 1 species